UUGAAGGAACUCAGCAAAAUGACCUCGUAACUUCAGGAGAAGGGGUGCUCUCCUAUCUUUUAAUUAGGAAAGCGGCACAUACCAGGGGUAGCGACUGUUUAUUAAAAACACAGGACUCUGCUAAGUGGUAACACGAUGUAUAGAGUCUGACACCUGCCCGGUGCUGGAAGAUCGGAAGGAGAAAUGUUAGUUGCUUUGAAUGGAAACCCCGGUAAAUGGUGGCAGUAACUCUAUCUUUGAACAAAUAAAAAUAACAAAUAAUUUGGAAACAUAAAAAAAAAAGAACAAAUUAAAUGUUAAAUUUCUUUUUCCUUUCUUCGA
rnacentral:rRNA from 1 species